rnacentral:rRNA from 1 species
UAGCCGUAAACGAUACUCGCUAGGUGUCGGCCACGGUGCGACCGUUGUCGGUGCCGUAGGGAAGCCGUGAAGCGAGCCACCUGGGAAGUACGGCCGCAAGGCUGAAACUUAAAGGAAUUGGCGGGGGAGCACAACAACGGGUGGAGCUUGCGGUUUAAUUGGAUUCAACGCCGGGAAAUCUUACCGGGACCGACAGCAACAUGAAGGCCAAGCUGAAGACUUUGCCGGAUUAGCUGAGAGGAGGUGCAUGGCGUAGUCGUGU